AAUAAACUAAUUUUUCACUUUUUACCUAUAGAUUUUGACUCUUCGUCUUAUUUAAAAAAAUUUUACGAUUGAUAUUUUUGUUUUUAUUAGAUGAUAAACCAUAAAUAGUAUUUUACGUGUGAUUAAUUUUUUUCUAAUUUUUUGAAAAAAAUUUAAAUAAGACAGAUGAUCGAACAUUGGACACGGAAAUC
rnacentral:pre_miRNA from 1 species